UAUGCAAUUUACGACUCUGGAGACCGACAAGGGCUCCUGGAUGCCUACCAUGAUGGGGCCUGCUGUUCCCUGAGCAUUCCUUUCAUUCCUCAGAACCCUGCCCGAAGCAGCUUAGCCGAGUAUUUCAAGGAUAGCAGAAAUGUGAAGAAGCUUAAAGACCCUACCUUGCGGUUCCGGCUGCUGAAGCACACGCGUCUCAACGUUGUUGCCUUCCUCAAUGAGUUGCCCAAAACCCAGCACGACGUCAAUUCCUUCGUGGUAGACAUAAGCGCCCAGACAAGCACAUUGCUGUGUUUUUCUGUCAAUGGAGUCUUCAAGGAAGUGGACGGAAAGUCCCGGGAUUCUUUGCGAGCCUUCACCCGGACAUUCAUUGCUGUUCCUGCUAGCAAUUCAGGGCUAUGUAUUGUAAAUGAUGAGCUAUUUGUGCGGAAUGCCAGUUCUGAAGAGAUCCAAAGAGCCUUCGCUAUGCCUGCACCCACGCCUUCCUCCAGCCCGGUGCCCACCCUCUCUCCAGAGCAGCAGGAAAUGUUGCAAGCAUUCUCUACCCAGUCUGGCAUGAACCUCGAGUGGUCCCAGAAGUGCCUUCAGGACAACAACUGGGACUACACCAGAUCUGCCCAGGCCUUCACUCAUCUCAAGGUAAGGUCUGGAAAUACAGUGGCAAAAAGACUAGGAUCUCUGGGCCUCCAGGAGGUCAGGUUAGCUGAGUGGGGUUGCUGAGUGGCGAGGGUAGGCCUACCUCUACUGACCUUCAUUUUUCUCCAGGCCAAGGGCGAGAUCCCAGAAGUGGCAUUCAUGAAGUGAUCGUAGUCAUGCCUCAGAAGCAGUCCCCCCUGUAAAUAGUCCUUGGAUAUUACCGUCUGGU
rnacentral:lncRNA from 1 species